rnacentral:rRNA from 1 species
CAAGUCGAACGAUGAAGUUCCUUCGGGAAUGGAUUAGUGGCGAACAGGUGAGGAACACGUGAGAAAACCUGCCUUUUCAUUCUGGAAUAACACCGGGAAACCGGUGCUAAUACCGGACACUCCAUCUUGGCGGCAUCGCCGAGCUGGGAAAAAAUUUUGAUGAAAGAUGGUCUCGCGGCCUAUCAGCUAGUUGGUGAGGUAAAGGCUCACCAAGGCGACGACGGGUAGCCGGCCUGAGAGGGCGACCGGCCACACUGGGACUGAGACACGGCCCAGACUCC